rnacentral:rRNA from 1 species
AGAGUUUGAUCAUGGCUCAGAACGAACGCUGGCGGCGCGCCUAAUACAUGCAAGUCGAGCGAGAAGACGUAGCAAUACGUUUGUAAAGCGGCGAACGGGUGAGGAAUACAUGGGUAACCUGCCCUCGAGUGGGGAAUAACUAGCCGAAAGGUUAGCUAAUACCGCAUACGACUCCUGGUCUGCGGAUCGGGAGGGAAAGCGAUACCGUGGGUAUCGCGCUCUUGGAUGGGCUCAUGUCCUAUCAGCUUGUUGGUGAGGUAACGGCUCACCAAGGCUUCGACGGGUAGCUGGUCUGAGAGGACGAUCAGCCACACUGGCACUGCGACACGGGCCAGACUCCUACGGGAGGCAGCAGUAAGGAAUAUUGCGCAAUGGGCGACAGCCUGACGCAGCGACGCCGCGUGGGGGAUGAAGGUCUUCGGAUUGUAAACCCCUUUCGGCAGGGAAGAUGGAAUGGGUAACCAUUCGGACGGUACCUGCAGAAGCAGCCACGGCUAACUUCGUGCCAGCAGCCGCGGUAAUACGAAGGUGGCAAGCGUUGUUCGGAUUUACUGGGCGUACAGGGAGCGUAGGCGGUUGGGUAAGCCCUCCGUGAAAUCUCCGGGCCUAACCCGGAAAGUGCGGAGGGGACUGCUCGGCUAGAGGAUGGGAGAGGAGCGCGGAAUUCCCGGUGUAGCGGUGAAAUGCGUAGAGAUCGGGAGGAAGGCCGGUGGCGAAGGCGGCGCUCUGGAACAUUUCUGACGCUGAGGCUCGAAAGCGUGGGGAGCAAACAGGAUUAGAUACCCUGGUAGUCCACGCCU